AAUCUUUAAUAAAAUUAUAAAUCCCCACUUUUCAGUUUGAUUUGUUUCCACAGUUUCGUACUUUCUCAUUCUAAUACCCUAUAUAAUUUAAAGUGUAUCAUUUUUGCGCCACGUAAUUUUAUUAUUAUUUUUGUUAUUUUCUUUUUUUAUUUUUUUGUUAAAUCAGUGACAAAAUUAAAAUUAAAGGUAUUAAAGUGAAUAUUCCAUAAACUAAUAUGGGUUAUCUAAAACUUUUUGUAUAUGAUUUAACGAAAAGGCUGCGGAGGGGCCGGCGAAAAGAGAAAAUUGAAACCACGGUUCACAGAGUAUUAAAUUGAUACAUUUUAAAUCACAGGAUAUUAAAAGUGAGAAAGUGCGAAACCAUAGGAGUAGUAUUUGAAGUUUACCCUUUUGGUUAGUAGAAUUUUGAAAUUAAAAAGUUAAUCAGAUAGUGAUACUGAUCAAAUAUUAUAUCUGUGAAUUAAGGAUUUAAUACAUGCUUAGUAGUA
rnacentral:lncRNA from 1 species